rnacentral:rRNA from 1 species
CGGUACAUCGGUGACAGGUGGUGCAUUGGUUGUCGUCAGCUCGUGUCGUGAGAUGUUGGUUAAGUCCCGCAACGAGCGCAACCCCUAUUGUUAGUUGCCAUCAUUCAGUUGGGCACUCUAGCGAGACUGCCGGUAAUAAACCGGAGGAAGGUGGGGAUGACGUCAAAUCAUCAUGCCCCUUAUGUCCAGGGCUACACACGUGUUACAAUGGCCGGUACAAAGGGCAGCUACUUCGCGAGAAGAUGCUAAUCUCGAAAGCCGGUCUCAGUUCGGAUCGAAGUCUGCAACCCGACUUCGUGAAGCUGGAUUCGCUAGUAAUCGCGCAUCAGCCAUGGCGCGGUGAAUACGUUCCCGGGCCUU